rnacentral:rRNA from 1 species
UACGUAGGAUCCAAGCGUUGUCCGGAUUUACUGGGUGUAAAGGGUGCGCAGGCGGACUUGUAAGUCAGGGGUGAAAUCUCACAGCUUAACUGUGAAACUGCCUUUGAUACUGCAAGUCUUGGAUCCAGAAGAGAGUUGUGGAAUUCUGAGUGUAGCAGUGAAAUGUGUAGAUAUUCGGAAGAACACCAGUGGCGAAGGCAGCAACUUGGUCUGGUAUCGACGCUCAGGCACGAAAGCAUGGGGAUCAAACAGG